rnacentral:rRNA from 2 species
GACGGAGGAGGCUAGCGUUGUUCGGAAUUACUGGGCGUAAAGCGCGCGCGGGCGGUUAUGCAAGUCAGGGGUGAAAGCCCGAGGCUCAACCUCGGAACGGCCUUUGCGACUGCAUGACUAGAGACCGGGAGAGGAGAGUGGAAUUCCCAGUGUAGAGGUGAAAUUCGUAGAUAUUGGGAAGAACACCAGUGGCGAAGGCGGCUCUCUGGCCCGGACCUGACGCUGAGGCGCGAAAGCGUGGGGAGCAAACAGG